UCAGCACAACAUAAAUAUAUGCCAAUUUGAACUUUUGUUAAUCACCAUACUUGGUCCUCUGCAAUAUUUUCCUCAUAUAAAAGUCCAUCAGCAUUUAUCCAUGCACUAAAGCCAGAAAAACCUAGGAAUAAUUUUUCACCCUCUCCCAUUUCCAGAUCUAAUCAAUCUAUUACUAUCUUUCCAAAAUAUACUUAACACUGGCACUCCUGUAUCUCUCACUUCCCGCUAAUCCAGUAUCCAGUCUAUUGCACUGAUCUAUCCGUCAGCAUUUUUAAUCAGUGUCUACAGGCCCUUUCUUGCUGAUCAUCCAGCUCAGUGUCAUGGUCCUCUCUAAUUCAUCUUUUACAAAGAAGCCAAAUUGUCUGUUGAUAAUAUAAACAAAAUGAUGUUACACUUCUAAGGAAAACCUCUCAGUGGCUUCCCUUCACUCUUAAAAUAAGGAUUAGAGUAAGAAAUCAAACAGUCUUACCUAGGCAUGAGGCAGUAUAUGAACUACCUGAGGACUUGUUACCUUCCUAUUAUUCUAACCAUUCAUUACUUCUCUACAUAUCAUUGUAUUUCCCUAUUAUGUAUCCUCACACAUAAUUUUCUUCAUGACUCUUAUCACACUUUAGAAUUAUAGUGAAUUAUUAUGUAUCUGUUUGGUCAUUUGAUUAGUAUCUUUGUUCCCCAAAGAAUUAUAAGAUCCUAUAGUUGUCUCAAUGUUUAUCCAAGUCGCUGGGCAUAGAUCCUGGAUAAGCAUUCAGAUUACCAGUUCUNNNNNNNNNNNNNNNNNNNNNNNNNNNNNNNNNNNNNNNNNNNNNNNNNNNNNNUUAUGACCCAGUUUUGAAGUGUAACAUAAAUUUAGAAAAGUUAAAUAACUCUGCUAACAUCUAAAACAGCGAACUUUUAAUCUCAGCUUUAGCACACACCAGCUAUAGAUUUAGUUUACUUAAUUACACCUUACGUUUACAGCUGUAGUAUAGAAAAAAUACAGAGUAAAACACACAAAAUUGAUAUUCAGCACUGUUGUUCAAGAUACGUACUGAAUAAAUGGCAACCAAAAAAGAGCGGAUGAAGAGGGACGUCUGGAGCCAAGGUUCCCAGGCCCUCUUUCCACACUGCCUUACUCUUCCAGUUUCCCAAACAAAAGCUCUCUCCUUUUGUGUUGCCCAUGUAUCCACUUCCCAGUGAGAACACUGGAGUGUGAGUUAAUAACACUGAGGCACUCACACCAAACAAAAGCUUUGUGAUUUCAGGCAUCAGGGGGUAUUGUUGAGGAUUGUUGGUGUAGGGCAGAAGAGGAGUACAGAGAAAAUCUCUAAAAUUAGAUCACAAACAAACUUUUCUUCAGAUUUAUGUAUUAUAAU
rnacentral:lncRNA from 1 species